UGGUCAGAUGCUAAAUUUUGCUGGUAGGUAAUGGGUAAGAUAACCUUGUCUUGAUGUAAAGAUUCAUAGUUGAAAGAUACUGUAUAUAAUGUAAAAAUUUUGAUAUACCUGUGACAGAACUACCUGACAUGGGCCGAAGGAACAGACAAGGCAAUCUCCACUGACACAUUAGAACACCAGCAUUGGAGAGGAUCAAAGCUACAAGGCUUUAUUUUCGUUUUUCCAUAGUUUGGAAGACUUGAGCAGUAAAUGAGUAAGAUUGCAGCCAUUGGGAAAGGUUGAUGAUGCACAAGUGGAAUAGCCAAAGAGAAGCUAGAACUAAAGAUGGGGUGAGGAGUAGAAAGGACUGGAGAUCCAGCAGUGGAUGUGUACGAAAGCACCCAGUGGAAGGAGAUGCUUAGAAGAUAAGUCUGUGUGGCAUUCUCUGUAACUUCCCACAACUAGAAGCUUUAUUCUACUUGCUGAAUGGAACUAAGGCAGUAGAGAGGAUUGCUGCCACUGGGAAAGAAUGGAGGAACUGAAGCAGAAUUGGAGAAAAGGUGCAAGAAAGGCAGACCAGCUUGUGGGGUCUACUGCACAACCUAAUGCAACUUUACUUACCUUGCCCUGCAGAAAAAAAGAUGAGUUGAGAGAUGCAGCUGUCCGUCUUCAUACCCCAAAACCAGAUGAAGUCAGGUGUUGCUGGAAUUAUCUUUUCCACAGGUAAGAAAGAGGUUAUUUCCUGAACCAGAUGCAGUGAGGAAUAGAGACAGGGAAAGGACUGGGGAUCCAGCAGUUGACAUGGAAGACAGAGCCUCCAGUGGAAGGAGAGCUUUAGAAGGAAACCAAGGCAGCAAUGAGGCUUUUCAGCUGAAAUAGUUUAAGCAAAUUAAAAAAUGUCUUUGGCUGGCAGUGGUAAUUAGUCAGAAGCUUAAUUUGGCUGGUGGGCAGUGGGAGCAGACAAGGUAGUUUCCAUUGACAGAUGAGAACACUAGAGUUGGAGAGGGUUGCAGCUGGAUGGCUUGUUUCUUUUUACACUGGUUUGGUAGACUUGGGCAGUGAAUGAGUAGAACAGCAGCCAUUGGGAAAGGUUGAGGAUGCACAAGUGGAAUAGCCAAAGAAAAGCUAGAAUCAAAGCAGAGACACAGAGGCCAUCCCCUUCACUCCAUCCCAUUUACCAAAGUGAUUGAGGAGAAAUUGCUGAAUUCUGAUCUUGUUUACAGAAGUGAUUUGGCAUAGACCCUGGGAAAGGGCUGGAGAUCCAGCAGCGGACAUGCAAGAGACUCCAGUGGAAGGAGAUGCUUAGAAGAUGACUUUGCGGUAUUCUCUCUUUGUUGAGAGGAAGGAAUUAAGUGUUGAGAGUUCUAUGUAAAAUAUCAGAAAUGAUAUUUAACCAACUUGCCUGAUGCUCUUCUCACAGACAAGGAAACCAAGGCAGGAGCGAGGCUUUGCAGGUGAAGUGUGAGGAUUUCAUGGAGUUUGUUGAAUUUCAGGUUCUUAUAAAAAUUUCUUUUCUUUUCAGGUCUAACAACAUUCUUUUAUAGUGAAUAGAUUAAGUCUUUCUGAAGUGAUUAAGCAUGAGCAAGGAAAUAAUCCUAUCAUGCAAGGUAUUGACAAGAUUUGUUAUUUCCAUGUAUAAUGUGUAUUCAGCCAUAAAUAUGAUCUCAUUUGUAUAUUUUUUAGUUUAGAAUUUUAUCAUAGAAUUAAUAAUACUAACUGCAUGUGGAUGUACAUCCAUUUAAUAUUGCAUGUGCAAGUUGAGUAGAGGAUUAACAUUAUGAAGCUAGCUGAAAAGCUGUUUAAAUCUAUCUGGUAUAGUGUUCUUGGCAAAAGAUUUGCAUCAGAGAGCAGAGGAGAAUAUAUGUGAUGUAGUGUCUAAAGUGCACAUACAUUCACAGCCCUUGUUUAUCAGAGUCUUCAACUGGGCAGAGCUAAAUACUUUGCAGGUAAAUAAAAUUCCAUAUGAUUUAGUUUUUCCAGAAGAUUUUAUGAGCAA
rnacentral:lncRNA from 1 species